CAUGUUGUUAAAUCAUUACGAGAAAAGUGUGAGCUGCUGCUUUUGCUGUUGUAGUGGAAUAAUGCAARUACCAGUUAAAGUUUUACAAGUUCCUGUAGCUGGAGCAUGAACUGACACAUUGCUAUCUCAAUAAUCUGGCACACCCCACAGGUCUCUGUGCACCUUGGGCAUGUUGGCUUGGAAGAAUUUUACUUUUCUAAACGUUGGGGAGGUAGUAAGGCACAGAUAUAAAAGGCAAUGCAAGAUGUUCAUGAUGCAGGAGAUUUUCUAAACUUUUCUUGACUACUUUUAUAGGAACUUUUUCAGCACCACUGUGACAAGGCAGAUUUCCAAAGCAGCAUGUUUGAGUCCUGUUGCUGUUGGACAUUAAUGGUUGAAUCCCUGUGAUGCUUGGAAAAGGUAACAUGAAACAGUCUAUAGACACCAAAUGAAGAAGCAUUGUGCAAGAUGUAGCCUUUUGUGAAGCACUGAAAAUCAAAAUCCUCUGCACACAUGGAAGAAGCAGAUUCACACCUCCCUAGGAAGAUGAGCAGAAGUGAUCAGUCACUGUUGCCAGGAACAUUCUGCCUUUGUCAGAAGAGCUCUCAAGGAGCCCAGGGAAAUCAACCCAGCUGAAGAGAUGCUGACCUGCUGAGGCUUAACUAGAAGAUCCCUUGACACAAAUUCCUGUAAGUGUAUUUAUACAGGGUUAUUUAUAACCCUUGGCCAAUUCCAAGGGCCUGAGGAUUCCUAGAGCUGAAAGCGUGAGCYCUGACAACUACAGUCUAAAUUAAGUGAAAAUGCUGAAUUUAGCAGAGAACACAGACAGAAAUUCCGUGUCACUUGUG